GGGAGUGAUGAGGGUUAAAAGCGCCGACUCUGGGUAGCAUGGGGAAGGCCAGGACAGCUGACCAUA
rnacentral:ncRNA from 14 species